GGUCAAUGGCCUAACGGCUGAACUGGCAACUUGGAGAAGUGGCAAGUCUUCCAGUAUGGGGAGCAAAACAGCUAUGGGUCAAGUCCGAUAUCUUUAGGAGAAGUCUUAUUGUGAGGGCGAGUUAUAUAACACCAUAGGACUGGCCGUCCCAUAUGAAAAGAUUAUAUUAGAAUUGAAUGAAGCUUUGUUUAUAUAUUGAUAAUGACAGUAUAUAUAUCGUGUCUUGACUAAUUGCGUGCCAGCAGUCGCGGUAAUACGUAAGAGACUAGUGUUAUUCAUCUUAAUUAGGUUUAAAGGGUACCCAGACGGUCAAUAUAGCUUAUAAAAUGUUAGUACUUGACUAGAGUUUUAUGUAAGAGGGCAGUACUUGAGGAGGAGAGAUGAAAUUUCGUGAUACCAAAGGGACUCUGUAAAGGCGAAGGCAGCCCUCUAUGUAAAAACUGACGUUGAAGGACGAAGGCACAGAGAACAAACAGGAUUAGAUACCCAAGUAGUCUUUGCAGUAAAUGAUGAAUGCCAUAGGUUAGAUUGGUCAAUUAUAGUCUAGGGUUAGUCUAGCAAACUAAUACCCUAUGCUAUAAUCCUAAUAUCUGGUCUAUAAAUGAAAGUGUAAGCAUUUCACCUCAAGAGUAAUGUGGCAACGCAGGAACUGAAAUCACUAGACCGUUUCUGACACCAGUAGUGAAGUAUGUUAUUUAAUUCA
rnacentral:rRNA from 1 species